AACGAACGCUGGCGGCAGGCUUAACACAUGCAAGUCGAACGGCAGCGCGAGUAGUUUACUACUUGGCGGCGAGCGGCGGACGGCUGAGUAACGCGUGGGAACAUGCCCUAAAGUGAGGAAUAACUGCCCGAAAGGGUGGCUAAUGCCGCAUAUGAUCUUCGGAUUAAAGGAUUUAUCCGCUUUAGGAGUGGCCUGCGUAUGAUUAGGUAGUUGGUGAGGUAAUGGCUCACCAAGCCGACGAUCAUUAGCUGGUCUGAGAGGAUGACCAGCCAGACUGGAACUGAGACACGGUCCAGACUCCUACGGGAGGCAGCAGUGAGGAAUAUUCCACAAUGGGCGAAAGCCUGAUGGAGCAACGCCGCGUGAAGGAUGAAGGCCCUCGGGUUGUAAACUUCUUUUAUAAGUGAAGAAUAUGACGGUAACUUAUGAAUAAGCACCGGCUAACUACGUGCCAGCAGCCGCGGUAAUAC
rnacentral:rRNA from 1 species